rnacentral:rRNA from 1 species
GUGGGGAAUAUUGGACAAUGGGCGAAAGCCUGAUCCAGCCAUGCCGCGUGUGUGAAGAAGGUCUUCGGAUUGUAAAGCACUUUAAGUUGGGAGGAAGGGCAGUAAGUUAAUACCUUGCUGUUUUGACGUUACCAACAGAAUAAGCACCGGCUAACUUCGUGCCAGCAGCCGCGGUAAUACGAAGGGUGCAAGCGUUAAUCGGAAUUACUGGGCGUAAAGCGCGCGUAGGUGGUUUUGUAAGUUGGAGGUGAGAUCCCCGGGCUCAACCUGGGAACUGCCUCCAAAACUGCAUGACUAGAGUACGGUAGAGGGUAGUGGAAUUUCCUGUGUAGCGGUGAAAUGCGUAGAUAUAGGAAGGAACACCAGUGGCGAAGGCGACUACCUGGACUGAUACUGACACUGAGGUGCGAAAGCGUGGGGAGCAAACAGGAUUAGAUACCCUUGUAGUCC